rnacentral:rRNA from 2 species
GCUCCCUGAUUCAGCGGCGGACGGGUGAGUAAUGCCUAGGAAUCUGCCUGGUAGUGGGGGACAACGUCUCGAAAGGGACGCUAAUACCGCAUACGUCCUACGGGAGAAAGCAGGGGACCUUCGGGCCUUGCGCUAUCAGAUGAGCCUAGGUCGGAUUAGCUAGUUGGUGAGGUAAUGGCUCACCAAGGCUGCGAUCCGUAACUGGUCUGAGAGGAUGAUCAGUCACACUGGAACUGAGACACGGUCCAGACUCCUACGGGAGGCAGCAGUGGGGAAUAUUGGACAAUGGGCGAAAGCCUGAUCCAGCCAUGCCGCGUGUGUGAAGAAGGUCUUCGGAUUGUAAAGCACUUUAAGUUGGGAGGAAGGGCAGUAAGUUAAUACCUUGCUGUUUUGACGUUACCGACAGAAUAAGCACCGGCUAACUUCGUGCCAGCAGCCGCGGUAAUACGAAGGGUGCAAGCGUUAAUCGGAAUUACUGGGCGUAAAGCGCGCGUAGGUGGUUUGUUAAGUUGGAAGUGAAAGCCCCGGGCUCAACCUGGGAACUGCUUUCAAAACUGGCAAGCUAGAGUAUGGCAGAGGGUGGUGGAAUUUCCUGUGUAGCGGUGAAAUGCGUAGAUAUAGGAAGGAACACCAGUGGCGAAGGCGACCACCUGGGCUAAUACUGACACUGAGGUGCGAAAGC